rnacentral:rRNA from 1 species
CCGUUCUACGAGAGUUUAGGUAGUCCUCGGGUCGUCUAGGAGUGAACGACGUGGCGGCGUGCGUUAACACAUAGCAAGUCGAACGGGCGUCAUAUUGAAACCUAGUGAUGUAUGAGUUAGUGGCGGACGGGUGAGUAACGCGUGGAGAACCUGCCGUAUACUGGGGGAUAACACUUAGAAAUAGGUGCUAAUACCGCAUAAGCGCACAGCUUCGCAUGAAGCAGUGUGAAAAACUCCGGUGGUAUACGAUGGAUCCGCGUCUGAUUAGCUGUUGCGGGGUAACGAGCCACCAAGGCGACGAUCAGUAGCCGGCCUGAGAGGGUGAACGGCCACAUUGGGACUGAGACACGGCCCAAACUCCUACGGGAGGCAGCAGUGGGGAAUAUUGCACAGUGGGGGAAACCCUGAUGCAGCGACGCCGCGUGAGUGAAGAAGUAUUUCGGUAUGUAAAGCUCUAUCAGCAGGGAAGAAAAUGACGGUACCUGACUAAGAAGCCCCGGCUAACUACGUG